UGACUGCGGUUCUCAGUUUGGAGUUUGG
rnacentral:piRNA from 1 species